rnacentral:lncRNA from 1 species
CUGAAUCUCAGAAUUCCUGGGACCACUUCUGGGAUCAGUCAAGAACCAAUCAGAGCAGGGAAUGCAUCUGAGACAAAACAAAUUUCUGGUGUAGUCAUGGAGUAUAGCGUGUGUACUUGACAACUUACUAGCUGUAUGAUCUUUGGAAUGUUGGGUGAUCUGUCCAGGAGUGUUUUCAUUUGUCAAGUGGAGGUGAUAUUAUUUCUCUGCCCUACCACACUCAGCCAAGUGGCCGUGAAUCAUAUAUCUCUCCUCCCACUGCUUGCAGCUGCAGUUCUUUGGAACUUGGAGGACACCAGACAAGCAGCUUAUAAAUGACAGGCAGUGAAGGGCUCUGCUCAGAUAGAAUAACUGCUUGAAUCCAGUCUUUCAUCUGAAAAUUAAAAUGGACAACUCCCAGAAGCUCCUGGGGUUUGGGAAAUUUUGGGGACCAUGGAUAAGCUGAUGAGGCAGAGAUGAGUCAUUCAUAAGAAGAGAAGAAUGGAGAAGAGAAGAGCAAACUGGGAGAGGCAGAGACUGGGGACACUGAGGGAGCCUCCCCUGGGUGUCAGCAUCCACCCCCCAAGAUGCAGAAGGUUCUGCCCUAUUUCCUCAUUUGGGUUCCCUCAGAGCAAAACCAACAAAACAAAACUCUCCCUUUCACUUGAACUGUCUGCAUGGUCUGUCUUCCUUGAAAUCAAAAGAUUCUGGCCUGGGGAAAAAAGAACAUCUCUAAUACACUGCAGAUAAUGGAAAGAAUUUAGAAAAAUAGGAAGAUUCAUAGGAGAAAUCAAGAUCCCCAGUAGAGAAGAAAAAAGGCUGAUGGUAAAAAUUAACUAUAAAAUGGGGAUGAUCUUUCGACCAAUUAUUUCAACAAUCGGGCCAAGGAAAUCCAUGAUAUGAUUUGAAAGAUGAAGUCAUUUCAGGUAAAUUAGAAACAACCUCUGGAUACCCUGCUCUCAUGAAUGGCCCAAAACCUAGACAUUACCUAGCUGCUAAAUAGUUAAGAACCCUGCUCUGGACACGCAGACAUCCACGCACUUCAAUAUGCCAAACAGCUGUUUAUUAAGCAGAACUGGACACCCCCAACCACCUUCUCUCUAUUCACAUGGAAAGAAAAUAAUAAAAGUGUGUAGAGUGAAGUCCA